GGCACUAUAGCCAAGUGGUUACGGCGAUAGAUUCAAAUGAAUAUCAAUCUAUUACUCUUUGAGUGAGCAGGUUCAAAUCCUGCUGGUGUUG